AAGAAAGCAUGGAGCUCAGCCACGAAGAUCAGCAGCCUUGCCCGUGGACUGUUUUUGUGAGCUGGCACUCUCCAAGGAGACUUGUCUGUGCAUUUCAUCCAGAGAUGCUACGAGGAGACAGGUGGGCAGGCAGGCUCCGGGCUGACCACAAAACCGGGCACUGCAGAAAGAUCCAGUGUUCCUAAAGCAUCAUUUCACUGGGUCCUUGGAGUGGCUUAGAUGCAAUAUGGCCAGCUGCUUUGAGCUUCUGAUGUCUUGACCUCCCCACCGUGUUAAACUAACCUGGAACUGUGAGAUAAAAAAUUAAAACUGUCUCCAUUAAAG